rnacentral:rRNA from 1 species
AGUGAACGCUGGCGGCGUGCCUAAUACAUGCAAGUCGAACGGAGUGGCGCACGGGUGAGUAAUAUAUAGCUAAUCUGCCUCUUGCUGGAGGACAACAGUUAGAAAUGACUGCUAAUACUCCAUAGCAAGGGAGGUGACUAUAUCGUUUCAUCUAGUCGGUAGGGUAACGGCCUACCGAGGCUAUGACGCGUAACUGGUCUGCGAGGAUGAUCAGUCACAUUGGAACUGGGACACAGUCCAGACUCCUACGGGAGGGAGCAGUAGGGGAUAUUGCGCAAUUGGGGAAACCCUGACGCAGCAACGCCGCGUGGAGGAUGACGCUUGUCGGAGCGUAAACUCCUAUUGUAAGGGAAGCGGUACCUAACGAAUAAGCACCGGCUAACUCCGUGCCAGCAGCCGCGGUAAUUC